GUCUUUUUCUAAUGGUACAAAUUGUUUGAUUGUUCAGUGGAUCCCUGUCGUGUUUUGUAAUUGUAACAUUGGAUUCUUCCAAGUUUUUCAUCUGGCGUAGUUGCUCAUCUAAAAUUCGCAUAUAAAUUACAAAACGCUACCGAAAGGUGGCCUUCUUUCUCUUUCCAACUCAGUAUCAUCUCAGUUAUACUCCUUUGUUUUAAUGGCCGACCGGACCCCGGCAGUUCCACCCCCCGCCGACCGCCAACCAUCUAACGCCCAGGAAGAAGAUCCCUUACCCCUUCCUGCGGAAUCUCUGGUGCUGGUGGCUGAUUCUCCUGCUCAACCCGAAAAAGAGUCAAUUCCACCAACACAAGUUGCUGCGGAGUCUGUAUCGUUGGCAGCUGCUGAAAACGAACCGGUUACGUUGUUACCCCCGGCAGCAGUGGUCGAGUUUGGUUCCGUGCUGGUGGUGGAGAAAGAAGAGCCACUGCAGCCACCACCUCGAUCUACAGAACUUGACUCUGAGGUAGAGGCAAAACCUUCCCAUUCGGGAAGAGACGUUAUUGGUGUUGAAUCUACUAAAUCUAAUGCAAUCGAGGAGCAGAAGCUUCCUCAGACUUUGGUUUCUUUCAAGGAGGAAAGUAACAGAGUGGCUGAUCUCGCAGAUUCCGAGAGGAAAGCUCUUCAGGAACUGAGGCAACUUGUUGAAGAAGCUAUGAAGAACCACCUAUUCCAAUUUGAACCUACGCCUCCCGGUCCACCAACAGAAAUUACCAAAGUCGAGGAAAAUCGAGCGAAGGAAGUCCAGGAAGCAACUCAAACUUUAAGUCUGCUGGAGAAGAAGCUGUCUAUUUGGGGGGUUCCUCUUCUUGAAGAUGAUCGGACGGAGGUGAUCCUUCUGAAGUUUUUGAGGGCGAGGGACUUCAAAGUGAGGGAUUCAUUCCUUAUGCUUCGGAACACAAUUCGGUGGAGGGAGGAGUUUGGUAUUGACUCACUUGUCGACGAGAAUCUGGGGGAUGAUCUGGAGAAGGUGGUGUACAUGCACGGAUAUAGCAGGGAGAGCCAUCCAGUGUGUUACAAUGUCUUCGGAGAGUUCCAGAACAAGGAUUUAUAUUCAAAAACAUUCUCCGACGAGAAAAAGCGAACCAAGUUCUUGCGUUGGAGGAUUCAGUUCCUAGAAAGGAGUAUUAGGAAACUUGAUUUUCGUCCGGGAGGUAUUUCCACUAUCUUUCAGGUUAAUGAUCUCAAAAACUCCCCUGGUCCUGGUAAGCGAGAGCUUCGACUUGCCACCAAACAGGCACUUCAGGUGCUUCAGGACAACUAUCCUGAAUUCGUAGCCAAACAGGUAUUUAUCAACGUUCCUUGGUGGUAUCUUGCAUUCUAUACAAUGAUCAGCCCGUUUCUAACCCAGAGGACCAAAAGCAAGUUUAUCUUUGCAGGGCCUACAAAAUCUGCCGAGACCCUUUUCAAAUACGUUUCUCCCGAACAAGUUCCAAUUCAAUAUGGUGGCUUGAGUGUUGAUUAUUGUGAUUGCAACCCAGAUUUCGAUGCUUCUGAUCAAGUUACUGAAGUCUCAGUAAAACCAUCAACUAAGCAAACUGUUGAAAUUAUAAUUUAUGAGAAGUGCAUUAUAGUUUGGGAGCUACGUGUUGUGGGAUGGGAGGUGAGCUACAGCGCUGAAUUUGUGCCCAAUAUCGAAGAAGCAUAUACUGUGAUAAUACAAAAGGCAAGAAAAAUAACUGCAACAGAUGAACCAGUGAUCUCUCAAAGUUUCAAAGUCUCUGAGCUGGGAAAAGUGUUACUUACUAUUGACAAUCCAACGUCCAAGAAGAAGAAGCUCCUGUAUAGGUUCAAGGUCAAGGUUUUAAGAGAGUGAAGCAUUCUAGCCAUGAUGUCAGCGAUUGUGAGAAGGGAAAGAAGAAACAACUGCCAGGACAAUCAACAACUUUGAACAAAUUUGUUCGAAAUAUUCAGUCAGCACGAGUGGUAUAAAUGAUAAUAAAGGUCUGAAUGGACUUCCCCCAGGUUGCACUAGCAAGUGUACAUCAUGCAUAGAAUUGAGAAACAAAGGGGACAGAACAGUAGAUUGUCUUUGUUUCAAUCAGAUACGUAUACGUAAAUAUAAAUGAAGGGGCAAUAGGGGGCUUCCUUCUGUGGUUGACUUACUACUUUCUCCUUCCUUCAGUUCCAAUUUUUCAAGGAAAAUAAAACUAGUCUAUAAAAGUAGAAACUCUCGAGCAUGCCUUCUAUAUUGUGGCUUGCCCUCCCAUAAUUAAGUACAUGGUAUCUUUCAAUAGAAAUGAACGAAAGUAGUUUCAUGCUUUAUAUAGAAGGGCAUACAUAAUGUGGCUGCACCAAAUAAAUUCUUCAAAUGUUUGGAGUUAAAAUUUAGAUACAACAGUUUAUUUUAUCAGCUUAAGUUGCCACUUCAGCUGAGCCAAACAUGGGUACUACUAUAAAGGCUAAUUUAAGCUCCAGUUCUAAGCUUAAGUUCCCACUUCAUAAUCUUUUUCCUCAGAGAUGUCUGGGAUAUACCCUCUCUGCUGAAGCUGCUAUUUCUCAGUAUGUCAAGGCUGUGGUUUUUGUUUGUUUUUUGUUUGUGUAAGUUACAGCCGAAGAAUUUACCACAUCAUAGGCAGAAGACUGUAGGAAGAGGAAUUGAAGAAGUUCAAUGAAGGUUUCAGUGGUUCGUGAAUGAUGCCUACAUGCACGUAGAAAUGGACUUCAGAACUUUUGAACUUAAGUUUACGCGCUCACCCAUUGAAGGGCCCAGCAUAUCACGGAUGAUAUGCAUGUCAACUUUAAAGAGUUUCCACCCCUGCAUAAGCAGAUAAGUAGCCCUUUUGAUAUCAUAAUUUCAAGAGUGUCUAUAAUUUGAAAGAUUUAUACUUCUAUCUAACCCAUACUACCAGAAACUCAAUGUGUAAUCUUGUGUAUUCUUGAAUAAUCUCAUUUUUCAAUUAUUCAACUAUUUCAUUUUACCAAGUUUAAGGGAAGCUCAAUAUAAAAUUAUAGGAAUGUCCAUAGUAAGGGGGGAGGGGUCAAAAGCGAUAGAUUGUGAAUUUGUUGAAGUUUUUCUUCGAAAAGAAAACAAUGAGUUUACUAUGGUGCAACUUUUCAAUGUUUACUUGCUUUGCUUAUUGAAAUCAAAGAAAGAUCCCUCAUUUGAUGAUCCUGAAUAAUUAGUAUGCUCGCUUCUUACUUGACCAUCUCAGGCAAGACAACUACUUAAUUUUCGGCUCAAUUUUCUAAAUAGCUUCAUAUUCUUUCUCUAUUCUAUAAACCAUUUCGCGGUCCUAUCUUCCUCACUCCCCUUUCCCCCUUCUCUCUCUACCUUCAUAAUCAAAACCCAAACCUCUCUUUUAAAUAUGAGUGUUGUUGCUUUCACACCUCAACCAUGGAUCACCCCACUACCCAACACCACGUAAUUAAGUUCUAAAUGCUCAUCACUCAUCAUUCAUUAGAAUUGGAAUUAUUGUAAUUGAGAUCUUUUAGAUUAUUGUUGGAUUGUGUAUAAUUUUGUAGGAAAUUGGUACAAAAAACAUGAUGGCGUGUUCAAAUAAUUCAAAAGCAGAUCAAAGAAAGGCAAGGUCACAGUUAGAGCAAGCCUCUCCCCGGUAGUUGCCGCAAGAACAAACUAUUCUAUUUUCCAAACACUUUUGUUUGGCCCAUUUGAUUUUCCUUUUCGAUUUUAACCGUCUUCAGCGUCAGUUCUCAAAUAUUUCGAGUUUCUAGUUUCACUUUUCUGGUUUAGGGGGUUUGAAUUCAAUAUUCGGAUGCUUGGGUUCGAUAGCCAGCGAUAAUACGACGACAAUACAUUGGCGAUUUU